UGACCUCAGGUGAUCUGCCCACCUCGCCCUCCCUAAGUGCUGGAUUACAGGUGUGAGCCACCGCGCCAGGCCCAGGCUGGAUAAUUCUAUGUUGCAGGGCUGUCCUGUGCACUGGAGCGGGAUCAGCAGCAUCCCUGGCUUCUCACCCAUCAGAGGCUGGCAGCAUCCUCUCACGCCCCGGUGCUGAAAAACUGAUAAGUUACUCUUCAAAAACAAGAACAUUUGGAAACAACAUCGGUUUCCAGAGUCUCCAGAGAGACUUUCCAACUUCAAAUCACACUGAAAAGACCGAAGCCAGCCAGGCGCAGUGGCUCACACCUGUAAUCCCAGCACCUUGGGAGGCCGAGGCGGGUGGAUCACUUGAGACAAGAAGCUGAGGCCCAGGGAGGACGGGACUGCUCCCACCAGGAUGGGCAGCCGCAGUGCUCCACUACAUAGAGCCCAUUCAGGCCACAGCUGCCUGCUCCAUUUCAGACUAGAAUGCUGGGUUAGAAGAGUCUGAAUGACCAUCGCUGACCUCCAUCCCCAUCAAGGAGUGACUUUCAGCUUGGUUACUUCAAAUGAUUGUCCUGGCCUCUCCACUGUGAGGAAGAUGCAAGUGUGCCCUCUUUUUUUGUUGUUGUUUUUUGUUUAAUUGAACUUUCAUUUGAGGUGCUGUAGAUUCACACGUAGUUUUAAGAAGUAAUACAGGUGCAUCCUGUGCACCCUACACCGAUUUCUCUCAAUAGUAACAUCUCACAAAACUCUAGUGCAGUAUCAUGACCAGAAUGUUGACACCCAUUCAGGGAAGAUGCAGAACAUUUCCAGCCCCACAAGGCACCCCCUGUUGCCUCUUUAUAGCCACAUUCACUCCUUCUCCCCAUCCUACCCUAUCUCCAUCCCUCACCCCCAGCAGCACUUCCCUAUUCUACAUUUCUGUAAGUUGGUCAAUUCACAAAGGUUAAACAAAUGGAAACACACAGUAUGAAACAUUUUUGUAUUGCCUUUUUUUCCCCACUUGGCAUAAAUCCCUAGAGAUCUACCCAAGUUGCUGCAUUUUUAUUGCUGAGUAGUAUUCCAUGGUAUAGAUGGGCCAGUUUCUGUAGUCACUCACCUGUUGAAGGACACCUAGGCUUUUUUUUUUUUUUUCCAGUUUUUGACUGUACAAAUAAAGCUGCUAUCAGCAUUUGUGAACAGGUUUGUGUGUGAACAUGGUCUUCAUUUCUUUGGGAUAAAUGCCCAGGAGUGUCAGUGCUGGGUCAUACGGCAGUUGGAGAUUUAGUUUUUUAAGAAACUGCCAAACUAUUUUAUGGAGUGACUGCACUAUUGACAUUCCCACCAGAAAUGAAUGAGUGAUCCCGUUUCUCUGUAUCUUUGCCUGUAUUUGGUGUUGUCACUAUUUUUUAUUUUAGCCAUUCUCACAGGUGUGUAGUAAUAUGCAAUUGUGGUUUUAAUUUCCAUUUCCAUAAUGGCCAACGAUGUUGAACAUCUUUUCAUGGGCAUAUUUGCCAUUUGUUUAUCUCUUUGGUGAAAAGUAAUCUGUAUCUCCUUAGUAAAGUGUCUGUUCAUGUCUUUUGCCCACUUUCAAAUUGGAUUGUUUGGUUUUUUUAACUGUUGAACUUUGAGUGUUUUAUUUAUAUAUUCUAGAUACUAGUCCUUUGUUGGAUAUGUGGUUUUGCAAAUAUUUCAUCCCAGUCCUUAGUUUGUCUUUUCAUCCUAUUCACAUGGUCUUUUAGAGUAUAAGUUUUCCAUUUUGGUGAGG
rnacentral:lncRNA from 10 species